rnacentral:rRNA from 1 species
UACGUAGGGUGCAAGCGUUGUCCGGAAUUUAUUGGGCGUAAAGAGCUCGUAGGCGGUUUGUUGCGUCAGCUGUGAAAUCCCGAGGCUCAACCUCGGGUCUGCAGUCGAUACGAGCAAACUAGAGUGUUGCAGGGGGAGACUGGAAAUUCCUGGUGUAGCGGUGAAAAUGCGCAGAUAUCAGGAGGAACACCGGUGGCGAAGGCGGGUCUCUGGGGCAACAACUGACGCUGAGGAGCGAAAAGCGUGGGGGGAGCGAAACAGG